CGAAAGCGUGGGGAGCGAACAGGAUUAGAUACCCUGGUAGUCCACGCCGUAAACGGUGGGCACUAGUUGUGGGGACCUUCCACGGUCUCUGCGACGCAGCUAACGCAUUAAGUGCCCCGCCUGGGGAGUACGAUCGCAAGAUUAAAACUCAAAGGAAUUGACGGGGCCCCGCACAAGCAGCGGAGCAUGCGGCUUAAUUCGACGCAACGCGAAGAACCUUACCAAGGCUUGACAUAUACAGGAAUAUGGCAGAGAUGUCAUAGCCGCAAGGUCUGUAUACAGGUGGUGCAUGGUUGUCGUCAGCUCGUGUCGUGAGAUGUUGGGUUAAGUCCCGCAACGAGCGCAACCCUCGUUCUGUGUUGCCAGCAUUUAGUUGGGGACUCACAGGAGACUGCCGGGGUUAACUCGGAGGAAGGUGGGGAUGACGUCAAAUCAUCAUGCCCCUUAUGUCUUGGGCUGCACGCAUGCUACAAUGGCUGGUACAAACGGCUGCAAUACCGCAAGGUGGAGCGAAUCCGAGAAAGCCAGUCUCAGUUCGGAUUGGGGUCUGCAACUCGACCCCAUGAAGUCGGAGUUGCUAGUAAUCGUAGAUCAGCAACGCUACGGUGAAUACGUUCCCGGGGCUUGUACACACCGCCCGUCACGUCACGAAAGUCGGUAACACCCGAAGUCAGUGGCCCAACCGCAAGGAGGGAGCUGCCGAA
rnacentral:rRNA from 1 species